UACGUAGGCGGAAAAUUAAGUCAGUAGUGAAAUCCUGCAGCUUAACUGUAGAACUGUUAUUGAUACUGGUUUUCUUGAAUAUAGUUGAGGUAAGCGGAAUGUGUAAUGUAGCGGUGAGAUGCUUAGAUAUUACACAGAACACCGAUUGCGAAGGCAGCUUACUAAGCUAUGAUUGACGCUGAGGUACGAAAGCGUGGGGAGCGAACAGGAUUAGAUACCCUGGUAGUCC
rnacentral:rRNA from 1 species